UACGUAGGGGGCGAGCGUUGUCCGGAGUUACUGGGCGUAAAGCGCACGCAGGCGGUCUGCUAAGUUUGGAGUGACAGUUGGUGGCUUAACUGCCAAAGUGCUUCGAAAACUGACAGACUUGAGGGCUUCAGAGGGACACGGAAUUCCGGGUGGAGUGGUGAAAUGCGUAGAGAUCCGGAGGAACACCAAAGGCGAAGGCAGUGUCCUGGGGAGUACCUGACGCCGUCAGGUGACCGGAAAGCCAGGGGAGGCGAACAGGG
rnacentral:rRNA from 1 species